rnacentral:rRNA from 1 species
UACGUAGGGUGCAAGCGUUGUCCGGAAUUAUUGGGCGUAAAGAGCUCGUAGGCGGUCUGUCGCGUCUGCUGUGAAAAUCCAGGGCUCAACCCUGGACCUGCAGUGGGUACGGGCAGACUAGAGUGCGGUAGGGGAGAUCGGAAUUCCUGGUGUAGCGGUGAAAUGCGCAGAUAUCAGGAGGAACACCGGUGGCGAAGGCGGAUCUCUGGGCCGUAACUGACGCUGAGGAGCGAAAGCAUGGGGAGCGCACAGG